rnacentral:rRNA from 1 species
GACGAACGCUGGCGGCGUGCUUAACACAUGCAAGUCGAACGGAAAGGCCCUGCUUUUGUGGGGUGCUCGAGUGGCGAACGGGUGAGUAACACGUGAGUAACCUGCCCUUGACUUUGGGAUAACUUCAGGAAACUGGGGCUAAUACCGGAUAGGAGCUCCUGCUGCAUGGUGGGGGUUGGAAAGGUUCGGCGGUUGGGGAUGGACUCGCGGCUUAUCAGCUUGUUGGUGGGGUAGUGGCUUACCAAGGCUUUGACGGGUGGCCGGCCUGAGAGGGUGACCGGCCACAUUGGGACUGAGAUACGGCCCAGACUCCUACGGGAGGCAGCAGUGGGGAAUAUUGCACAAUGGGCGGAAGCCUGAUGCAGCAACGCCGCGUGCGGGAUGACGGCCUUCGGGUUGUAAACCGCUUUCGCCUGUGACGAAGCGUGAGUGACGGUAAUGGGUAAAGAAGCACCGGCUAACUACGUG